rnacentral:rRNA from 1 species
UACGGAAGGCAGCAGUGGGGAAUAUUGCACAAUGGGCGAAAGCCUGAUGCAGCUAUGCCGCGUGUAUGAAGAAGGCCUUAGGGUUGUAAAGUACUUUCAUCGGGGAGGAAAAACAAAACUAAUAAUUUUAUUUCUUGACGUUACCCGAAAAAGAAGCACCGGCUAACUCCGUGCCAGCAGCCGCGGUAAUACGGAGGGUGCUAGCGUUAAUCAGAAUUACUGGGCGUAAAGAGCACGUAGGUGGUUUUUUUAAGUCAGAUGUGAAAUCCCUGGGCUUAACCUAGGAACUGCAUUUUGAAACUGAAAUACUAGAGUAUCGUAGAGGGAGGUAGAAUUCUAGGUCGUAGCGGUGAAAUGCGUAGAUAUCUGGAGGAAUACCUGUGGCGAAAGCGGCCUCCUAAACCGAAUACUGACACUGAGGUGCGAAAGCGUGGGGAGCAAACAGGGAUUAGAUACC